rnacentral:rRNA from 1 species
GAUGAACGCUGGCGGCGUGCUUAACACAUGCAAGUCGAGCGAGAAGUUUUGAAAAGAUUCUUCGGAUGAAAUUUAAAAUGGAAAGCGGCGGACGGGUGAGUAACACGUAGGCAACCUGCCCCAUACAAAGGGAUAGCAUUUGGAAACGAAUAUUAAUACCUUAUGAAACUUAACUAGUGCAUGCUAGGUAGGUCAAAGAUUUAUCGGUAUGGGAUGGGCCUGCGUCUGAUUAGCUAGUUGGUGAGGUAACGGCUCACCAAGGCGACGAUCAGUAGCCGACCUGAGAGGGUGAACGGCCACAUUGGAACUGAGACACGGUCCAAACUCCUACGGGAGGCAGCAGUGGGGAAUAUUGCACAAUGGGGGAAACCCUGAUGCAGCAACGCCGCGUGAACGAUGAAGGCCUUUGGGUCGUAAAGUUCUGUUCUAGGUGAUGAAAACUGACAGUAACCUAGGAGAAAGCCCCGGCUAACUCCGUG